GGCAGGGUAACGGCCCACCAAGGCGACGAUGGCUAGGGGGUCUAAAAGGAUGAUCCCCCACACUAGUACUGAGACACGGACCAGACUCCUACGGGAGGCAGCAGUGAGGAAUAUUGGUCAAUGGGCGAGAGCCUGAACCAGCCAUGCCGUGUGCAGGAAGACGGCCCUAUGGGUUGUAAACUGCUUUUGUUUGGGAAGAAAAGGCGAUACGUGUAUUGCACUGACGGUACCAGAUGAAUAAGCAUCGGCUAACUCCGUGCCAGCAGCCGCGGUAAUACGGAGGAUGCGAGCGUUAUCCGGAUUUAUUAGGUUUAAAGGGUGUGUAGGCGGAAGAUUAAGUCAGUGGUGAAAUCUCACAGCUCAACUGUGAAACUGCCGUAGAUACUGGUUUUCUUGAGUACAGUUGAAGUAGGCGGAAUGUGUAAUGUAGCGGUGAAAUGCUUAGAUAUUACACAGAACACCGAUUGCGAAGGCAGCUUGCUAAGCUGUUACUGACGCUGAUGCACGAAAGCGUGGGGAGCGAACAGGAUUAGAUACCCUGGUAGUCCACGCCGUAAACGAUGAUUACUCGUUGUUGGCGAUAUAUUGUCAGCGACUGAGCGAAAGCAUUAAGUAAUCCACCUGGGGAGUACGGCGGCAACGCUGAAACUCAAAGGAAUUGACGGGGGCCCGCACAAGCGGAGGAACAUGUGGUUUAAUUCGAUGAUACGCGAGGAACCUUACCUGGGCUUAAAUGUAGCGUGACCGUCCCUGAAAGGGGACUUCCAAGCAAUUGGCAGGUUACAAGGUGCUGCAUGGCUGUCGUCAGCUCGUGCCGUGAGGUGUCGGGUUAAGUCCCAUAACGAGCGCAACCCCUAUUGUUAGUUGCCAGCGGGUCAAGCCGGGAACUCUAACGAGACUGCCACCGUAAGGUGAGAGGAAGGUGGGGAUGACGUCAAGUCAGCACGGCCCUUAUGUCCAGGGCUACACACGUGUUACAAUGGUCAGUACAAAGGGCAGCUACCUGGUGACAGGAUGCUAAUCUCAAAAACUGAUCCCAGUUCGGAUCGAAGUCUGCAACUCGACUUCGUGAAGUUGGAUUCGCUAGUAAUCGUAUAUCAGCAAUGAUACGGUGAAUACGUUCCCGGGCCUUGUACACACCGCCCGUCAAGCCAUGGAAGCCGGGGGUACCUGAAGUCCGUAACCGCAAGGGGCGGCCUAGGGUAAAACU
rnacentral:rRNA from 1 species